rnacentral:rRNA from 1 species
AUUGAACGCUGGCGGCAGGCCUAACACAUGCAAGUCGGACGAGUGGCGGACGAGUGAGUAAUGGCUGGGCAACUGCCCGAUGGUGGAGGAUAACUAAUGUAAACGGUAGCUAAUACCGCAUACCAUCGGAUGUGCCCAGAUGGGAUUAGCCAGUAGGUUGGGUAACGGCUCACCUGGGCGACGAUCCCUAGCUGGUCUGGGAGGAUGACCAGCGACACUGGAACUGAGACACGGUACAGAAUCCGACGGGAGGCAGCAGUGGGGAAUAUUGCACAAUGGGCGCAAGCCGGAUGCAGCCAUGCCGCGUGUAUGAAGAAGGCCUUCGGGUUGGAAAGUACGUUCAGCGAUGAGGCGUUACUCGCCGAAGAAGCACUGGCUAACUCCGUGCCAGCCGCCGCGGUAAUAC